GAUGAACGCUGGCGGCGUGCCUAAUACAUGCGAGUUGUGCGGUAACAGAGAGAGCUUGCUCUCUGCUGACGAGCGGCGGACGGCAGAGUAACGCGUAGGAACAUACCCCAAACUGAGGGAUAACUGCUCGAAAGAGUAGCUAAUACCGCAUGUGGUCUUCGGAUUAAAGCUUCGGCGGUUUGGGAGUGGCCUGCGUCCGAUUAGCUAGUUGGUGAGGUAAUUGCUCACCAAGGCGACGAUCGGUAGCUGGUCUGAGAGGAUGAUCAGCCUGACUGGAACUGAGAACGGUCCAGACUCCUACGGGAGGCAGCAGUAGGGAAUUUUCCACAAUGGGCGAAAGCCUGAUGGAGCAACGCCGCGUGCAGGAUGAAUGCCUUCGGGUUGUAAACUGCUUUUCUGUGUGAAGAAUAUGACGGUAACACAGGAAUAAGGGUCGGCUAACUACGUGCCAGCAGCCGCGGUAA
rnacentral:rRNA from 1 species